rnacentral:rRNA from 1 species
GACGAACGCUGGCGGCGUGCCUAAUACAUGCAAGUAGAACGCUGAAGGAGGAGCUUGCUCUUCUGGAUGAGUUGCGAACGGGUGAGUAACGCGUAGGUAACCUGCCUGGUAGCGGGGGAUAACUAUUGGAAACGAUAGCUAAUACCGCAUAACAGUAGAUGUUGCAUGACAUUUGCUUAAAAGGUGCAAUUGCACCACUACCAGAUGGACCUGCGUUGUAUUAGCUAGUUGGUGGGGUAACGGCUCACCAAGGCGACGAUACAUAGCCGACCUGAGAGGGUGAUCGGCCACACUGGGAAGGAGACACGGCCCAGACUCCUACGGGAGGCAGCAGGAGGGAAUCUUCGGCAAUGGACGGAAGUCUGACCGAGCAACGCCGCGUGAGUGAAGAAGGGUUUCGGAUCGUAAAGCUCUGUUGUAAGAGAAGAACGAGUGUGAGAGUGGAAAGUUCACACUGUGACGGUAUCUUACCAGAAAGGGACGGCUAACUACGUG